AAUUGCUCGCUCGCUGGGUGGGCAAAUCCCAUACAUCUAGUCACAGGAGUGCACUGUAUUGAGCAUAGGACCAGAGAGAGAAAAAAAAAAAAACAAUAUAUUUUUUCCUUCAGAACCGUGUGCCCCGGAGAACGUCAAGGAAGAAGAACAAAGGAAGUCGAGGAAUGAAAGUGUGGCCACAUAGACCAUGGUCCAACUAGACCCCGGAGGAGGAGGACAGUGGAGCUGUGUUCUCUCCCCUCCCAAGCCGCACAGACGUCUGGCCUUCCGUGAGCUCUUCUCCAUCAGGGAUGGUCUUGGCAGAGAGAAGAGGUUACUUCUGUGUAAGAAUUAAAGCAGAAGGAGCUCCAUUGUCAUGCCAAUUGCACCUGGCCUGGUUGUGAAAUUUGGCUGAUCUCUCAACAAUCCUGAUUUCCCAGAAGACGCAGGGAGCAGGUGCUGCUUUGGAAGCGUCUCACAUGGCAGUGUGCUGGAUGCCAGACCACCGAGGUGUGAGGAUCCACACUUUCACGGAAAUGGAUAUUGGAUGUAAUUUUGGAUGCUAGCGGGAAGGGAACUCUCAGUAUGCAGGGAAAGUCAACAGCUACACACGUCCGACAAUAAACUAGGCGUAGGUAUUUCCAUUUUCUGCAUCACAUCCUUAUAUUUUAUUGCUAAAAUGAUGGAAUUGCUAGGAUAUUUUAGAUUGGCAGUUGGGAAUGAAUAGGCCACACUGUGGUUUUUUUUUUUUAGGACACCCACAAGGUUUGAAGACUUGGGAAAUUUUGUAUCCAAAGUCUGAGUUUGUGGCAGUUCAAAAAAGGGGGCAGAUCAGAGGACAUGGCUGCUAGAAUUCUCCAUUAAGCCAUGUGCUGCGGUCCCUGCCAUGAAUCUGCUGCCUCCCUGGGACAGUUUACUAUUUUACAAUCUGCUCAGUAUGUCAUUUCCAUCAUCGGUCCUGUUGGCAUGCAUGGUGUCUGCAACCUCUGCUUUGAUUAGGAAGCUACGUUGGUGACAUUGACCAAACCCCCCCCCACACACACAUUAGAUAAUUAUGAGCUUUAGUUGAUGAUGACCAGCAAUAGUCUAUGUUUUCAAAAUAUGAUGGGGACUCCGUGGUAGAGCGUGUGCUUCUGUCUGCUGGUAUGAUUACGAACCUGUUGGUCGGAGGGGGUGGUCUCAUUCCAUCUCUCAAGCUGUUUAGCACAUUAUAUUAAUAGUAGUAGCAUUUGAUGCAAUAGAGGGUGAUUCAGCCUUUCCAUUCCACUGCUCAUGGCAACAACAAAUGUUUUCCUUCUGAGUCAGCAUUACCUAGAUGCUAAUGUUGACCAAAAUUAGACCAUAUAUUUUCCAUGCCGUGAAUACCGAGUAAUUAAAACAUUUCUUCGUAUCGAUUGCAUAUGUAGGUCACGUAAUUAGCUGAUGUUGAUGGUUCUGUGAUACGUGUGCCUGCUACAAAGCCAGAGGGAGAAACACAGCAUCGUUUCCAGUUGUGCAAGCAUCAUUAUGUUAUAAUGAAUAGGUAAUAUUAAAUUGGGCUGAUGAGUCAUAUUACAGUAAUUCAAUAUUUCCCUUGUAACGUCCCCGAGGUUUACACAAGGAAAUCUUUUCUAAUAACAAGAAGAGUGAUUCUGAGGCCUAGGACUCUCAAUGCUUCUGUCUUUAUUUCAUAGCUGUAUGAUCCUAGAUGAGGCAGUUAGCUUUUCUCAGGAUUAGAUGGAAUUGAGGCAAGAAAUUGAUUAUGGUGACCUCAGAGAAUGGAGUCCCGCUAUCCCAGAUUACCCCACUCAUGCUUAUUGCCCCCGAGCUUCUUUUUUUACCCUGACAUGAAUCAAUCCCAAAGAGUUGUUUUGAACUCAACCAAUUCUUUUAUUGAUUGACUGAUUGAUUGAUUGGUACUGAGGAUUUAACUCAGGGGCACUUGACCACUGAGCCACAUCCCCAGCCCUAUUUUGUAUUUUUAUUUAGAGACAGGGUCUCAUUUAAUUGCUUAGUGUCUGGCUUUUGCUGGGGCUGGCUUUGAACUUGUGAUCGUCCGUCCUGUCUCAGCCUCCAGAGCUGCUGAGAUUACAGGCAUGCGCCACUGUGCCUGGCCCAGUUCUUUUAUUUUAAAGACCAUGUACAGGACAAACUCAAGUUAGCAAAUACUUUUUUUUUUUGGCCUGUUUUUUUCUUAAAUUUUAUUUUACUUUAGUUUGGAACAAUUGUAUUGCACUCCCAGAGGGCAUUUAUAGACAAGUUUUACAGAGGAAAAAGAAAAAAGUUGAUUUUUAUUCUCCUGUACUCCCAAGACAGGCAAAAGAAGACCAUGAUACUUUACAUAGAACUUCUUUUCUGAACUAGCUGAACAUUAUAGUAGACCCCUAAAGUAGGUGCUGGAAUAUAUAUA